rnacentral:rRNA from 1 species
AUGAGUUGUCUAAGCUGGAACUGUCGAGGGCUUGGGAACCCAUCGACGGUUCGAGAGCUUCGCAGUGUAGUGAAGCAGGAAGUGCCCUGUCUCCUGUUUGUUAUGGAGACAAAAAUCUCAGCAAAGAGAGUCGAAGCGUUGCAAAAUCAGUUAGGCUUUGCGGGGUGUUUUGCUGUGGAUAGCAGAGGAUUGAGUGGAGGUAUUGGUCUUUUUUGGUCGGCUGGCAUUAGAGUCGAGCUAAAAAAUUAUAGUUCUGCCCACAUUGAUGUGGAAGUGCAGAAGGUGGAAGGAAGAUCAGAAAAGUGGAGGUUCACCAGUUUCUACGGUGCACCAAAGGUGGAGGAUCGCUAUCAGAGUUGGCGUUUUCUCUGGACUUUGUUCGCGUUGCAACAUUCAGCAUGGAUGUGUGUCGGCGAUUUUAAUGAAACUCUGUAUGGUUCGGAGCAUUUCUCGUGA